GGAGGCGAAUGUAGUCUGGUGGCUUCCCCGGUCUUCAAAACCGGUGACACAUAGUAAUAUGUGUGGUGGGUUCGAUUCCCAUCCGUCUCCGCCA
rnacentral:tRNA from 1 species